GACGAACGCUGGCGGCGCGCUUAACACAUGCAAGUCGAACGGAAAGGCCUGCUUUCCCUUGUGGAUUGCGGGUACUCGCGUGGCGAACGGGUGAGUAACACGUGAGUGAUCUGCCCCCAACUUGGGUAUAAGCCUGGGAAACUGGGUCUAAUUCCCGAUAGGACUGCAGGGUGGUGCCUGUGGUGGAAAACGAUUUUCUAGUGGUUGGGGAUGAGCUCGGGGCCUAUCAGCUUGUUGGUGGGGUAAUGGCCUACCAGGGCGGGGACGGGUAGCCGGCCUGGGAGGGUGGACGGGCACAGUGGGACUGAGAUACGGCCCAGACUCCUACGGGAGGCAGCAGUGGGGAAGAAUGCAGAAUGGGCGGAAGCCUGAUGCAGCGACGCCGCGUGGGGGAUGACGGGCUUCGGGUUGUAAACUCCUUUCGACCGCGAGGAAGCCACCUGGUUGGAAGGGUGGUGACGGUAGUGGUAGAAGAAGCACCGGCUAACUACGUG
rnacentral:rRNA from 1 species